rnacentral:lncRNA from 1 species
AGAGCAGAAAGAGGAAUGGCAAAAUGAACAGGAGUUUAUUACAAAUGAUGCGGAGUGGAAGAGGCUGACCCACGACAAGCACAAGAGAAGACAAAUCUUCAUUAAAAGUUUGUCCACUUUGCCUUCUGGGUCCCUCCUGAAGCUCUUUGGUGCUGACAGCAGAAGACUUCACAAAUUAUCUACAAAUUCACUUAAUUCCUCACUCUUUAAUUUAUGCAGGUGUGUGGAAAUAAUGAGUGUUGUCAUCAACAUGAAGGAAGUAGCCAGAAGAAAAAUCCUUCAGCUCCCAGCUGGGUGAGUGGGAAAGGUGGAAGGCAGACUCAGCCAGGGGGCCUUAUGGAAGCUGAAUUAGAAGAACACAGCGUUUUUGGUUUUGCCAAGGUGCAAAAGCCCACGAGAAGCAGUGGAAAGUUGUGUUGACCUCGACCACUCCAAAGUUUGGAUCUUCCCUUUGUAUGGAAAGCUGUGCUUCUGCCUCAAUCCUGCUGGCAGCAAAAAAACCUUGCUCCAGUUCUCCCUGCAGAACUGUUUGGUGCACAGACUUUAACAAACGAGUCCCUCAGCUCUGAGCAUUUUCUCUGGAUGGAAAAUUGCUGCCAUGCAGGAGGUGUGUGGUUCCUGCCACCAAUGCCACCAGGGGAAAUGCCACCAGGGAAAUGCCACCAGGGAAAUGCCACCAAGAGAAAUGCCACCAGGGGAAAUGUGACCAGGGAAAAUCCACCAAGAGAAAUGCCACCAGGGGAAAUGUGACCAGGGAAAAUCCACCAAGAGAAAUGCCACCAGGGGAAAU